UCCGGGGUGGUGUAAUGGUAACACAGGAGACUUUGGAUCUCCCAUUCCUGGUUCGAGUCCAGGCUCCGGAG
rnacentral:tRNA from 4 species